GUCAGAUCUGGCUUGGAGAAAAUAAUAAAGAGAAGCUACCGUUAGCGUCGAGACUGGAAGAAUGAUGGGGGCUGGGGGAUUUGGUGACUAAUCCACUCACAUCCUUUCUCUGAGACACGGCACUGCACUCUCCCGACGGUCAGCAGGACACCGUGUGUUCAGCUGCCAGCGCUGAGGGGGAGGUAUAAAGAGUCAAAGAUGCCCCACCUCCCUGAGCUGAAUGGGAGAGCCAGGGGGCGGGGCGGAACGUCUGAUUGGCUGGCAUCAGAGGGUGACGUCAAAAUUGGGGAAGGAGCGGUGAGGGGGCCGGAAGAAGGGAGGGUUGAGGUGACUGCUCUGCCACUGGCUUCCUCUCUUUCCUCUCUCCUUCCCACCCUUUCUGUCCGUCUCGCUCUCUCGCUUUCCCCCCACUCUCCCUGCCUACUCCAAGCUGAAAAGGAAUCAGAUUGUUGGAGGAAGAAGGAUGGACUUGUGGCUCUAGGUUUUGAAAACAGACAGGUGACCAUUAAAUUCUAUAUUUAUUUAGGGCAACAGUGGUAUGGAAUAGUGGCCAGAUGUGUAAGCGUGUCAGCGCUGACCCUUUGCGCCGUGAGUGAACGCAUCUGUGCGGCUGACGUUCACAAGCACGUUGUGGUCGCAUCGGCAGGAAUGGCAGGGCUGCCAACCUGGGUCAGCUGGCUGGAGUGAGAUUUUCAAUUCGACACAAGUCUGCACAGGCAUUUACAUGACCCCACCAUGGGCAGCAGUGGCAGGGAUACUGAUUUACCACACCAAAGACUCCACCCCCUCACCCAGAGCAGCACUGAUGGUCAGUCACUCAAAGGAAGGACAACGUUCAACCAAUAAGAACUCAGAGGGGACACAAGCCGGAAAGUGAUUGGUUGGAUCCAGCUUGGGUCUAUGAUUUGAGGAUUCCUUUGGGACUGGAGAAGAGAACUGGACAGAUCGCCACGUGAAAAUGCAGCCUGAAGCGCAAUAAGUAUUCAGAGAGACGUUGAGAGGGUGGUAUAGGAAUCUGCGUUCUGAUAUCAGGGAGAAAUUCCGUGUUAAAUGCAGAGGAAAUGUCGAAAAAUCGAGCAGCAUGACCGUCUGCGUCGGGGAAAAUGAUGAAGUGGACUGAACAGCGUUUCUGAAAAGCAGCCGAGGUCGGGAGGAGUAGCAACAGGGAGGUGAGGAGGUGAUGAAUUACACAUGAGAGUCAGCGAC